UACGUAGGGACCGAGCGUUGUCCGGAUUCAUUGGGCGUAAAGAGCUCGUAGGCGGCCACUCAAGUCGAAUGUGAAACCUCGAGGCUUAACCUCGAGCCUGCAUUCGAUACUGGGCGGCUAGAGUCUGGUAGGGGGAUCUGGAAUUCCUGGUGUAGAGGUGAAAUUCGUAGAUAUCAGGAGGAACACCGGUGGCGAAAGCGGCUUCCUGGCCCGACAUUGACGCUCAUGUACGAGAGCGUGGGGAGCAAACAGG
rnacentral:rRNA from 1 species